rnacentral:rRNA from 1 species
CGGGGACGGGUGAGUAUGUCUGGGAAACGUGCCUGAUGGAGGGGGAUAACUACUGAAACGGUAGCUAAUACCGCAUAACGUCGCAAGACCAAAGAGGGGGUCCUUUCGGGCCUCUUGCCAUCAGAUGUGCCCAGAUGGGAUUAGCUAGUAGUGGGGUAACGGCUCACCUAGCGACGAUCCCUACUGGCCUGAGAGGAUGACCAGCCACACUGGAACUGAGACACGGUCCAGACUCCUACGGGAGGCAGCAGUGGGGAAUAUUGCACAAUGGGCGCAAGCCUGAUGCAGCCAUGCCGCGUGUAUGAAGAAGGCCUUCGGGUUGUAAAGUACUUUCAGCGGGGAGGAAGGUGUUGUGGUUAAUAACCACAGCAAAUUGACGUUACCCGCAGAAAAGCACCGGCUAACUCCGUGCCAGCAGCCGCGGUAAUACGGAGGGUGCAAAGCGUUAAUCGGAAUUACUGGGCGUAAAGCGCACGCAGGCGGGUCUUGUCAAGUUCGGAUGUGAAAUCCCCCGGGGCUCCAACCUGGGGAAACUUGCAUUCGAAAACUUGGCAGGGCUAAGUCUUGUAAAGGGGGGGUAAAAAUUCCCAGGUUUUACGG